GGCAGCGGGAGUUGGAGCUGGAGCGCUGCUGCCAAGACCCCCCAGCACCCACACCCUCACCCUCACCCUCACCCUCUGCUCGUGGCCAGGAGCGGAGCAGCCAGGGCAGGAGGCAUGUCCUGCUGCAUCCUGCUGUCCCGAGGAGGGUGAUUUGUGGUGUUUUGGGGGUCAUGGGGGAGCCAAAGGGUGCACACGCACCUUCCCUCCCUCUUUGUGAACAUAUAAAUAUAUUCUAGUGCCUGCUACUGCUGGCUUCUAAAUGCGUGGAUAGAUGUUUGGCUUUGGUUCAUCCCACCCUAGAUUUGCCUGAGAUGCCUGAGUGUGGAGCACAGACAUCCUCGGGCUCCCUCUGUUGUCGAUGGAGCGAAGCACCUGCAGAAGGUGACCCAGCCCAGGUGAGCGAUUCCCUUAAUUGCCUUCUGGCUAAUUCUGCACCAGCUGGGUGCCCGCAGGUGGCUGGGCAGGAUGAUGGUACCGGGAAGAGCAGCGGGCAGGGGUCUCGUUACACCCCGUGUCUGUCUGCCUUCAUGUUUCCUUGUGGUUUUAAGCACGGAGGGUCCACAGUGCCCGUGGGGUCCAGCUCACCACUUGCCAACUCCUCCAGCCCUCUGCAACCAGCCAAAGUCCUAAAAUCAACCACCCCGCACUCCACAUGCACCCACACCCCGUGACACCCCCUCGUCCUUCGCUCCGUGGUGAAGAUCUGGAAGGAGGGCAGGGAGAUGCCUUUGCCCAUCUCACCUCAAGCUGGCAUCUCGGGAGUGAGGAGAAACGAAACAACCAGGAGAGAUGAGAGAUAGGGCACGGCACACCUUGAGAUGAAAGACGUGUGGUUGGUGUUUGAAGAGCUGUGACGUUCCUUGGAGAGGAGGAUUUAUUUCUUCAUUAACUUGGUGCCUGAACAAGUUUAUCUUGAAGCACUGAACAAGUGUCAUUCAUGUUUCCUUUGAGCAAACAAGGCUCUUUGAUAGUGCCUACCCUCUUUUGACCUUUAUUUUAAUUUUGAAUGCUACUAAUUAACACCGAUCGUUCAUUCAACCACGAAACUGGUUGUUCCUGCUGAAUGCAAAGCAAAUGCUUUGUGGUCAGGAGAAAAAUGGGGGCAGGUUUCUGUAGGAAAACUCCAAGGUUGCGGGAUACCCUAUGCAAACAGGGGACUGUUGUGCUCAAACUGGGGAAUUUCCUCUCUGGUCCUGUGGAAAUAGAAAUUUCCUCUCUGGUCCUGGGAAUAACACACCCCGUAGGAAAGGAGAGGGUGCUCUCAACAGAUGGCUUGUGGAGGCAGUGCCAGGACUCAGGACCAUUUAAACCCUGUUUUUUCUUUUCUUAUUUUUCUUUUGAAGUGUCUGGUCUACAGCCACCUUGGCAACUGCUUGAAGAGCACAGCUUUGCUCUGCUCCCAACCUGCUUUCCAGUGUUGCUGGAGUAAUGCAGCCUGGGGUUACCUGCUAGCAGGAACCCCGGGGAGAUGUCACCAAGUGCUGCCCCAGGCAGCACGUCCUUUUGUCCAGGGGAAUGAUCCCCCAUGCUCAGAUGAAGGCAGGAGGGUUCAUCUGCCUUGUGCACCAGCCUCAGCCUCUCCAGAGCACCUCUGCACACCAACAUCACCCAAAAUCCUCAGUCCUGUGCUUGGAGGUUGCCUUCGCCUAAAAUGGCCAAAACGCAGCAGAGAGAUUGGGUUCAGUUGGUGCCUGAAGGCUUCUGCGGCCAGGAGAGCUGGGCUGGGUUUUGGGCAGGAGGAAGGAAUUUUGCCAAGAGUGGACCAAGGGCUGGGGUUUCCUUUCUCUGCACAAGUCUUACCUGGUGUUUUAUCACCUGGAGAACGAAUAGAAACCGAGAUCUCUUAUGUGAGACGAGCUCCCUGGUGCACACAUAAUGGAGCUGCUGGUGUUGUGAAGGAGGAACUGGGCAGUUGUCCACAUUUUCUACACAGGCUUCAUGGAAAAAAAAACAGGAUUAUGGGCUCUAGCUUGAAACCCUUCCCGCUUCGUGAGCAUGAGUAACCACUGAGACAAUGCAGACUGUCGCAAGGAGAGGCUGGAGGGCUCGGAUGCCAAAUUCUUCCUUCAGUUACCGCAGCAGGACCUUCGGUGCAUCACAGCUGGUGGGAUAAGGUGGAUGGUAUCUGGAGACGGGGCUGAAGCCCAACCGUGAGCUUCCUGUGGGACUGGGAGCAACUCUACCAGGGCUUUAUAUUUCCCCUCUGAGGGGCUACAGGACUUCCCCAUCUCACCAAGACAAGGAUAACAGGCAUGAUCUGAAACACACUGCUUUGCCGUGGGUGGCACACGUCCCUGGCUGUCUCCAUGCAGACGGAUGGGGGAUCAGGCUGGGGACAGGCUGCCUCAUGAGGACACGCCAGAAACCUCCACCCCUUGCCAGUGCCGAGCAGAGAUGUCCCCGGUUCUCGAUGGACAACGAGCUGCGAUGAAAGGACACUUCCCCUUAGGCUGUGGUUUCACAGCUAUAUUAACACUCCUAAAGACUGUCGUUCCAGCUGCGGCUCCUGACCUUUCUGUCUUGCUAGUGGAUUGCAGAGAUCAGCCAGUCGGCUGCUAACUGUGAAAUCACAACAAGAGGCGCAAAUCAGCCAGCCCUCGGCGUAUUCAAACUGGCACUGGUUUGUUUGGAUUGGGGCUAAAGCCGGAGCAAGAAAGCUGGAGCUUUGAGAUGCAAUUGGGAUCACCUGGGAAAAUACAAGUGCCUUUCAUCUCUCCUGUCCCCGUGGCCAGGCAGGCUUGCUGCCCCAGCUGGGCUCCCACCCCUCUCCUUUUUACCAGUGCAGGUCCCCAGCUGUGCCCGGGGACAGGCACUUAGUGGGGACCAUAUGACAGGGGGUUAAAGUCCCAAGAAGCAGAUGGUUGUCUUUCAAGGUGUGCAGGGGGCCAGGGUGGGCCUCGGACAAGUUAUCAAAUACCUCUCAGGAUUUUCAAAUCAAUGCUGGAAGCUGUUUUUCUUGAUCACGGCGGUGAGCUGCUGGUAAAUCCCUAACCCCUGGCAAUUCUCUUCAAGAAGGACAUGAAUGCGGUAAUGCAAGACUUUAUUUUAUUUACCUUAUUUUGUUCUGCAGCAAUAACAUGUCCACAAAU